AGAGAAUUUCAGAAGAGAGUGAGGGUGCAGGAGUAUUGAAAUUGAAAGUGUUAAAUAAGUGUUGUGUGUUAGAGUAUUGAACUCCAGUCUUUUUUUAGUGCUAAAAGGUCGUGCCCUUUAUAGUUCAUAAAGCAAGUACGAAAAAGUUAAGAAAAUAGGCGUGAAAUUAAUUGCAUAUUGUUUUCCUUUACUUCUGAUUUCAAACUGGCAGAAUAAUUAAGGAAGAAUUUGCUCAAAAUUUCUUUUAAAGUAGUACAAGAAGGGCAAAUAACAGAAGCUGUUUAAGGAAAGAGUUUGAUAGUAACACGAUUUGUUCAAAUAAAGGAAGUCAAUCAAUCAACAGCCAUAAUAAAUCAUAAAUUGAGUAGGUAUGAACGAAUCCAACCGGAAAAGUUUAAGAAAGGUUUAAUUAAAGGAAAUCAGUAACAAUCAAUCGAACCUUAUUAAAAGGAAUUUUGAAUCAAUCACAAGUUGAAUUCGUCAUAUAUAAAGUGUAAAAACAUGUGAAUCAAGAGAUAACUAUUGUGCUAAUUAGAAAAGAGUCUAGAAUGGGAAGUUCAGAGUCAUAACAAAGAGGUUCAAGUCAGUUCAUAGACUCAUAAUGAGUUUGACAAAUUCAGGUUUCCACAAUGGAACUCCGGUCCACACACAAGAUCAAAAUCGCCAAAAGAAAACCCCAAACACUAGGGUUUCCAUCUCGAGUAGGAUACAGAGACGAGAAGCCAAGCCAUUUAAACAGGC
rnacentral:lncRNA from 1 species